rnacentral:lncRNA from 1 species
AUCUCUCUCUCUCUCACACACAUAUCUCUCUUUCUCUCUCUCACACACAUAUCUCUCUCACACACACAUAUCUCUCUCUCUCUCUCUCACACACAUCUCUCUCUCUCUCUCUCUCACACACACAUUUCUCUCUCUCACACACAUCUCUCUCUCUCACACACACAUAUCUCUCUCUCUCACACACACACACAUAUUUCUCUCUCUCACACACAUAUCUCUCUCUCUCUCACACACACAUAUCUCUCUCUCUCACACACACAUCUCUCUCUCUCUCUCUCUCUCACACACACACAUAUAUAUAUAAAUAUUAAUAACAGCAUUACUAUUAUUAUUUAAAAAGGAAAAAGAGAUAUGAUAUGUAAAAUAAAUUAUAUUAUGUGCACAAUUUUUUUUAAAUGUAUCAUUAUCAUAUAUAAAUUAAUAUUUGUCAGGUUUUAUCAUAUAAAAUUAAAAUACAUGAAUCAUAAUACUACAAAAAAAAAGUAGUUGUAAAAAAUGAGUGACCCGUCAGUAAUCAGAGUAUCUUCAACAGAGCAUCAAGCUAGAAGAUUUGUGGUCUGUCGUUAUUUUGAUUGCACUCUCGUACAUCCUGUAAACAACAACUCGUGUCUAAACAAAAAGAGGAAAUCCUGAGAGAGCUUCACAUGAUGAGGGAGGAACAGCAUCCUGAACAAGCGCACAGCUUUGAGCAUUUCUUUUCAGAUUGACAGAAAGAGACACAGAAAGACUGAUGUGGAGGGCUCUAUUAGUCCUAUUUUCUCAGUGUCAGUGUGAUGGAGAGCUGUGUGCCAUGACUGUGAUCUUCUGAAGGAAAGCAUGGCAUUAACCACAGCAGAGUCUUACUCACAUGCACCUUUCUAGAGUCUGAAUCACCCAGACAUCUUCAAAUCUGACUGACUAGACCAAAAGCCUGACGCUAGCAAGAGCAGAUGAAGACUUCAUUUGACAGACACCAAUGAAAAUGCACUUCUUAUUUAUUCAGAGCAUCUCUACUUAAACAUGUCCAACCUCUGUUCCAAUAAAUGAUUUUAACAAUUCAACUGCAUCUUCAAACAGUGCCAUUUGAAAUAAACCCUUAAAUACUUUCUGUAUAAGGACACUGAGAAGCUCAUACAGCCCAUUUAUAGGAUAAUGAAUAUAUAAAUUCACAAUAUAUCACAAAUAAU